GGUUCGAAUCCUGCACGACCCAUCAAUCGUUCGGUGGAAACGAGAAUAAAACGUGAAGGAUAACGUUGCGUCAGCAACGGCCCGUAGGGCGAGGCGAAGCCGAGUCAUCCUGCACGACCCACCA
rnacentral:sRNA from 1 species